GCUCCCGUAGUGUAGUCCGGCCAAGCAUAAUGGCCUCUCGAGCCAUUGACAGGGGUUCGAAUCCCCUCGGGAGCA
rnacentral:tRNA from 1 species